rnacentral:rRNA from 1 species
GACGAACGCUGGCGGCGUGCUUAACACAUGCAAGUCGAACGCUGAAGCUCAGCUUUUGUUGGGUGGAUGAGUGGCGAACGGGUGAGUAACACGUGAGUAACCUGCCCCCUUCUUUGGGAUAACGCCCGGAAACGGGUGCUAAUACUGGAUAUUCACUGGUCUUCGCAUGGGGGUUGGUGGAAAGGGUUUUUCUGGUGGGGGAUGGGCUCGCGGCCUAUCAGCUUGUUGGUGGGGUGAUGGCCUACCAAGGCUUUGACGGGUAGCCGGCCUGAGAGGGUGACCGGUCACAUUGGGACUGAGAUACGGCCCAGACUCCUACGGGAGGCAGCAGUGGGGAAUAUUGCACAAUAGGCGAAAGCCUGAUGCAGCGACGCAGCGUGAGGGAUGGAGGCCUUCGGGUUGUGAACCUCUUUCGCUCAUGGUCAAGCCGCAACAAUGGUUGUGGUGAGGGUAGUGGGUAAAGAAACGCCGGCUAACUACGUG